rnacentral:rRNA from 1 species
GACGAACGCUGGCGGCGUGCUUAACACAUGCAAGUCGAACGGUAAGGCCCUUCGGGGUACACGAGUGGCGAACGGGUGAGUAACACGUGGGUGAUCUGCCCUGCACUUCGGGAUAAGCCUGGGAAACUGGGUCUAAUACCGGAUAGGACCACUGCCUGCAUGGGUGGUGGUGGAAAGCUUUUGCGGUGUGGGAUGGGCCCGCGGCCUAUCAGCUUGUUGGUGGGGUGAUGGCCUACCAAGGCGACGACGGGUAGCCGGCCUGAGAGGGUGACCGGCGACACUGGGACUGAGGUACGGCACAGACUCGUACGGGAGUCAGCAGUGGGGCAUAUUGCACAAUGGGCGCAAGCCUGAUGCAGCGACGCCGCGUGAGGGAUGACGGCCUUCGGGUUGUAAACCUCUUUCAGCACCGACGAAGCGCAAGUGACGGUAGGUGCAGAAGAAGGACCGGCCAACUACGUGCCAGCAGCCGCAGUAA